rnacentral:rRNA from 1 species
ACCCGCUGAACUUAAGCAUAUCAAUAAGCGGAGGAAAAGAAACCAACAGGGAUUGCUCUAGUAACGGCGAGUGAAGCAGCAAUAGCUCAAAUUUGAAGUCUGGCGUCUUCGACGUCCGAGUUGUAAUUUGUAGAGGAUGCUUCUGAGUGGCCACCGACCUAAGUUCCUUGGAACAGGACGUCAUAGAGGGUGAGAAUCCCGUAUGCGGUCGGAAAGGCGCUCUAUACGUAGCUCCUUCGACGAGUCGAGUUGUUUGGGAAUGCAGCUCUAAAUGGGAGGUAAAUUUCUUCUAAAGCUAAAUAUUGGCCAGAGACCGAUAGCGCACAAGUAGAGUGAUCGAAAGAUGAAAAGCACUUUGGAAAGAGAGUUAAAAAGCACGUGAAAUUGUUAAAAGGGAAGGGAUUGCAACCAGACUUGCUCGCGGUGUUCCGCCGGUCUUCUGACCGGUCUACUCGCCGCGUUGCAGGCCAGCAUCGUCUGGUGCCGCUGGAUAAGACUUGAGGAAUGUAGCUCCCUCGGGAGUGUUAUAGCCUCUUGUGAUGCAGCGAGCGCCGGGCGAGGUCCGCGCUUCGGCUAGGAUGCUGGCGUAAUGGUCGUAAUCCGCCCGUCUUGAAACACGGACCAAGGAGUCUAACAUCUAUGCGAGUGUUCGGGUGUCAAACCCCUACGCGUAAUGAAAGUGAACGGAGGUGAGAACCGCAAGGUGCAUCAUCGACCGAUCCUGAUGUCUUCGGAUGGAUUUGAGUAAGAGCAUAGCUGUUGGGACCCGAAAGAUGGUGAACUAUGCCUGAAUAGGGUGAAGCCAGAGGAAACUCUGGUGGAGGCUCGCAGCGGUUCUGACGUGCAAAUCGAUCGUCAAAUUUGGGUAUAGGGGCGAAAGACUAAUCGAACCAUCUAGUAGCUGGUUCCUGCCGAAGUUUCCCU